rnacentral:lncRNA from 1 species
AUGGGAACAGUUUUCUCCAUGUACCUGUUGGGGGAGAGAAACAAGGCUGCUUCGACCAUCAAUCUGUGGGACCUCAGAUCUCAGCCUGAAAGCAAGGGUGAAACGAAAUACGAAAAUUGCACUGCAGUAGAAGAGGAGUCAGCUAUCUGAGGGCCUCUGCUGAAAUCCCAUCUUUCGGGUGUUGUUUCACUUCACACCCAAAGACAUAUUCAAUGAAUGGGAGAAACUGAGAGCAGAAGCAAGAAGCUGGACUCCUAAGGUGAUGUGAAACUUUUUUUUUUUGUUCUCCUUGAAGAUAGGACUCUUAAAUGUGAUGACAGAAAUGAUGAAAGUAGCAGGGCUUUGCAUACACUUGACAUAGUUAAUCCAGUCAGUAAACAUGAUGUUAAAAAAAGGGCACCCUGUAACAUUUCAGUAUCUCUCUAUUUGAAGUAUAUACGAUGCCUAACAUGUAUGCAAUGGAUCUGGGGCCUGACAUCUAUUUAAACUCAUUGGGAGCA